GACGAACGCUGGCGGCGUGCUUAACACAUGCAAGUCGACGCCGCUACUGAGUAGCAAUAUUUAGUAGUGGAGUGGCGCAAGGGUGAGUAAUGUAUACGUAACCAACCCAUCGGAGACGGAUAACAUUUCGAAAGGGAUGCUAAAACGGCAUGAAGCCAUGAUUUCGCAUGAGAUUGUGGUUAAAGAACCGGUAACAGGUUGCCGAUGGCUGGGCGUAUAUCCGAUUAGCUAGUUGGUAGUGUAAUGGACUACCAAGGCGACGAUCGGUAGCUGGUCUGAGAGGAUGAUCAGCCACACUGGAACUGAGACACGGGCCAGACGCCUACGGGAGGCAGCAGUGGGGAAUAUUGGGCAAUGCCCGCAAGGGUGACCCAGCAACGCCGCGUGGAGGAUGAAGGCCGUAAGGUUGUAAACUCUGACAAGCAGGGAAGAACGGCUAUGGUAAAAGGCCAUAGAAUGACGGUACCUGCCUGAAGCCCCGGCUAACUACGUG
rnacentral:rRNA from 1 species